UGCUGACCACACGGGCAGAGUACACGGGAAGCGCGGUGUUGGGUGUGGACAGUGAUCUGAGCCUGUCCACGGCUUUGGUUGGAAAGAGAAUUGCAUCUCUCAUCCUGGGGCAACGCAUCUAUAAACACAGAGACAGUCAUCUGAGGCUCUUUUUACGAGGCUGAUGGAGUGGAGGGAACCCUUCUUCUUGGCCACCUCUGGCUGUCCCUGGACCGAGACAAGGCCUCAGGGGAGCUCUGAGGGCCAGGCUGAGAGAGACAGUCCCAGGAGCAGAGCCCACCAGACCCAUCACCUCGGCCCCAGCCCGGCCCCCACAACCAUGUGGUCUUAGAUAAUUUGGCUUCCCUGAGCCCCACUUCCUGCCUGCAAGGAGGAGAUGAUCACAGAACCAGCUCCCAGGGUGUGAGGAGGACCAGAUGCAGACGGAGCCUGCCCACUCCCUGUCCAGCAGAGCAGAAGGGCAGAGGGGGUGCUGCCUCCCUCCUGCUGGGAGCCCCAUGCCAAGGCCCACCUGCCCGCUCUUUACUGCACGAAACAUAGCCAAGUCUGUUGGUGCUGGU